rnacentral:rRNA from 1 species
CAGUAGCCGCGGUAAAACGUAGGUGGCAAGCGUUGUCCGGAAUUAUUGGGCGUAAAGGGCUCGCAGGCGGUUUCUUAAGUCUGAUGUGAAAGCCCCCGGCUCAACCGGGGAGGGUCAUUGGAAACUGGGAAACUUGAGUGCAGAAGAGGAGAGUGGAAUUCCACGUGUAGCGGUGAAAUGCGUAGAGAUGUGGAGGAACACCAGUGGGGAAGGCGACUCUCUGGUCUGUAACUGACGCUGAGGAGCGAAAGCGUGGGGAGCGAACAGGAUUAGAUACCCCAGUAGUCCCUGUCUCUUAUAC